UUGACCUCGAAUCAGGUAGGAAUACCCGCUGAACUUAAGCAUAUCAAUAAGCGGAGGACAAGAAACCAACCGGGAUUACCUCAGUAACGGCGAGUGAAGCGGUAACAGCUCAAAUUUGAAAUCUGGCUCCUCUGGAGUCCGAAUUGUAAUUUGUAGAAGAUGCUUUGGGUUGUGGGUUCGGCCUAAGUUCCUUGGAACAGGACGUCACAGAGGGUGAGAAUCCCGUAUGUGGCCGAGGCCCGCGCCUAUGUAAAGCUCUUUCAACGAGUCGAGUUGUUUGGGAAUGCAGCUCAAAAUGGGUGGUAAAUUUCAUCUAAAGCUAAAUAUGGGCCAGAGACCGAUAGCGCACAAGUAGAGUGAUCGAAAGAUGAAAAGCACUUUGGAAAGAGAGUUAAACAGUACGUGAAAUUGUUGAAAGGGAAGCGCUUGCACCCAGACUUGGGCGCUGCUGAUCACCUUGAGGUCUCCUCGAGUGCACUCGACAGCGCACAGGCCAGCAUCGGUUCGGGUGGCUGGAUAAAGGCCGUAGGAACGUAGCUCUCUUCGGGGAGUGUUAUAGCCUACGGUGCCAUGCAGCCCAGCCGGACCGAGGACCGCGCCUUCGGGCUAGGAUGCUGGCGUAAUGGGUGUAAGCGACCCGUCUUGAAACACGGACCAAGGAGUCUAACAUCUAUGCGAGUGUUUGGGUGGUAAACCCAUACGCGGAAUGAAAGUGAACGUAGGUGAGAACCCCCUUUGGGGGCGCAUCAUCGACCGAUCCUGAUGUCUUCGG
rnacentral:rRNA from 1 species